rnacentral:lncRNA from 1 species
CAAAAGCGGUCAGGAAGUCAAUAUGAAAGCUAAGGAAUGAACUAAGUAAAGAAGCGAAAGGAAGAAAAAAGUAAAUCGGUCUACCUCAAGAAAGGACCCUAGAGAGUCCCAAACCCGUUGUUCAGGAUCGGCAUGGACGAUCCUAUGGACGAUCUCAGGCAAAAUGCACCCAUCGACCAACCUUUUUAUUAAAUCCCUAUUGUUGAAGGGUUUCUCCCUCGGAUCCUUUUCAGAGUCGUUGGACCUUUCGAUGCUAGCCCUGCUGCUGCUGAUCUU